rnacentral:rRNA from 1 species
UACGUAGGGGGCGAGCGUUGUCCGGAUUUAUUGGGCGUAAAGAGCGUGUAGGCGGCCAGGUAGGUCCGUUGUGAAAACUCGAGGCUCAACCUCGAGACGUCGAUGGAAACCAUCUGGCUAGAGUCCGGAAGAGGAGAGUGGAAUUCCUGGUGCAGCGGUGAAAUGCGCAGAUAUCAGGAAGAACACCUAUGGCGAAGGCAGCUCUCUGGGACGGUACUGACGCUGAGACGCGAAAGCGUGGGGAGCGAACAGG